rnacentral:rRNA from 1 species
AGCUACCCCGGGGAUAACAGGCUUAUCUCCCCCAAGAGUUCACAUCGACGGGGAGGUUUGGCACCUCGAUGUCGGCUCAUCGCAUCCUGGGGCUGUAGUCGGUCCCAAGGGUUGGGCUGUUCGCCCAUUAAAGCGGUACGCGAGCUGGGUUCAGAACGUCGUGAGACAGUUCGGUCCCUAUCCGUCGUGGGCGUAGGAAAUUUGAGAGGAGCUGUCCUUAGUACGAGAGGACCGGGAUGGACAUACCUCUGGUGUACCAGUUGUCGUGCCAACGGCAUAGCUGGGUAGCUAUGUGUGGACGGGAUAAGUGCUGAAAGCAUCUAAGCAUGAAGCCCCCCUCAAGAUGAGAUUUCCCAACUUCGGUUAUAAGAUCCCUCAAAGAUGAUGAGGUUAAUAGGUUCGAGGUGGAAGCAUGGUGACAUGUGGAGCUGACGAAUACUAA